rnacentral:tRNA from 1 species
GGGCUCGUAGCGAAACGGUAUCGCGCCUGCAUGGCAUGCAGGAGACUGCGGGUUCGAUUCCCGCCGAGUCCA